CUAUGUGUCUUGACCAAAUUACGUGCCAGCAGUCGCGGUAAUACGUAGAAGACUAGUGUUAUUCAUGUUUAAUCGGUUUAAAGGGUACCUAGACGGUAGAUCAAGCUUUCUAAUAAAUGAAAAGGACUAAUUUACUAGAGUUACUUAUGAGGGGGUAUUAAAGUACUGCUGGUGUAGAGAUGAAAUUCUGUCAUACCUCUUUUCAAAAGAAAAACCAUGGCACAGGUAUAGGCGAAGGCAUCCCCUUAUGUGAUAACUGACGUUGAGGGACGAAGGCUUUGUGUAGCGAACAGGAUUAGAUACCCCAGUAGUCGAAGCAGAAAAUGAUGAAUGUCAUAGAUUAGAUAUCUAAGUUUAUUCUAUAAAUGAAAGUGUAAGCAUUCCACCUCAUGAGUAAUUUGGCAACAUUGGAACUGAAAUCAUUAGACCGUUUCUGAAACCAGUAGUGAAGUAUGUUGUUUAAUUUGAUGAUCCGCAAAAAACCUUACCACAAUUUGAAUAUUUAUAUUAUUUAUUGUUUUAUUAUUAAUUUUCUUGAAUGUAUAGAUCACGUAAAAGAAAACAAGAUUGAAAUUGCCGGGAAUAGUAAGAAAAUUAAUAAAGAGGCUAUAAGAUAUAUUUACAAGCGUUGCACGGCUGUCUUCAGUUAAUGUCGCGAGACUUUGGUUAGUUCCAUUAAAUUAACGUAAACCCUUACU
rnacentral:rRNA from 1 species